rnacentral:rRNA from 1 species
UACAGAGGGGGCAAGCGUUGUUCGGAAUUACUGGGCGUAAAGGGCGCGUAGGCGGCCGCCUAAGUCAGACGUGAAAUCCCUCGGCUUAACCGGGGAACUGCAUCUGAUACUGGAUGGCUUGAGUUCGGGAGAGGGAUGCGGAAUUCCAGGUGUAGCGGUGAAAUGCGUAGAUAUCUGGAGGAACACCGGUGGCGAAGGCGGCAUCCUGGACCGGCAUUGACGCUGAGGCGCGAAAGCCAGGGGAGCAAACGGG